GAUGAAGAACGUAGCGAAAUGUGAUACUUGGUGUGAAUUGCAGAAUCCCGUGAACCAUCGAGUCUUUGAACGCAAGUUGCGCCUCAAGCCAUUAGGUUGAGGGCACGUCUGCCUGGGCGUCACAUAUCGUUGCCUGAUGCCAGUUUCCUCGUGAUGGGUGACUGUGCAGGGCGAAUGAUGGCUUCCCGUGAGCAUUGUUGCCUCAUGGUUGGUUGAAAAUUGAGUCCUUGGUAGGGAGCGCCGUGAUAGAUGGUGGUUGAGUGACAAACGAGACCCAAUCAUGUGAGACCCCUACCGAAUUUGGCCUUCAUGACCCACAUGCGUCUUUGGAACGCUCAUGACGAGACCUCAGGUCAGGCGGGGCUACCCGCUGAGUUUAAGCAUAUCAAUAAGCGGAGGA
rnacentral:misc_RNA from 1 species